CCCUUAGAUGUUCUGGGCCGCACGCGCGCUACACUGAUGCAUUCAACGAGCCUAUCCUUGACCGACAGGUCCGGGUAAUCUUUGAAUCUGCAUCGUGACGGGGAUAGAUUAUUGCAAUUAUUAAUCUUCAACGAGGAAUGCCUAGUAGGCGCAAGUCAUCAGCUUGCGUCGAUUACGUCCCUGCCCUUUGUACACACCGACCGUCGCUCCUACCGAUUGGGUGUGCUGGUGAAAUGUUCGGAUCGGCCGUUUGUCGCGGUUUCCGCGUCAUGUGGCUGAGAAGUUCAUUAAACCCUCCCACCUAGAGGAAGGAGAAGUCGUAACA
rnacentral:rRNA from 1 species